AUAUACUUAAUACACUCAAACCAUACUUGUAUUAUUAUCGUGUUUAUGAAAGGUAGUAUACACUCACUUGAUCAGAAGAUGAUCGGACAACACUACGACUUGCAGAAGUAGUAAUCCUCAGCAGAUCUGGAAGAUCUCUACAAAAAUCGAACUUCUCGCGGGCAGAGCUUCGACUCGGGAACCGCACUUCUCGGGAUCUUCGGGAUCUCGGGACUUGCCUCGGGGCUCGAGAAUAAUACCGGGGCUUCGGGGUAUUUCUGGCACGCAAAACGAUGCAAAACGGGAGAGAGAAGAGAGGAAAUUAGCAAAAGAGCCGGCUGCCCUCGCAUCCUAUUUAUAGGAGGCUGGAGCCUCGGAGUACGCGGGGCGUACGCGUCCGAAACGUCAUUGCAUGCGUCAUCCGAAGAACUCGAAUGCGAAGGUCGUCAUGCUUCACUGUACGCGGGGCGUACGCUCGUACGCGGGGCAUACUUCGGAUGAGUCCGAUGACUCGUCUUCGGAUAAGGCCGGUAUUUAAUAAUUAAAUUUAAUUAUUAAUUCAUUAAUAAACUUCGAAAAUUCAUAUCUUCUUCAUACGAACUCCGUUUUCGACGUUCUUUAUAUCCACGCGAAGGUGAGACUACGCUCUACAACUUUCGUUUAGACUCCGUCGGCUAAUUUUGACUUUAUUUUUAUUAUUUAUUUUUAAUAGGCCGCGACAGAAAAACUUCGUUAUAAAUUCAUAACUUCUUCGUUUGACGUCCGUUCUCGCCUAACUUUUUAUCGCUUCGAUACCAACAACGAGACCUUCGAUCCUCGUUUAGAUUGCUUCGGCUAAAAACCGCUCGAUCUCAAAUCGAGUAUUUCAGGCUGCACACCGCUAAGCCGAAACUUCGAUAAAUCAUAACUUCCUCAUACGAAGUCAGAUUUGGGCGUUCUAUAUAUAUUCGGAAACCUCGUUUCAACUACUACAACAUUAACCAAAGAUAUUAAGUUUAUUUUACACUUAAAUUUUGACGCUUAUUUUUAUUCUUAAUUAAUCAAACCACAUAAUUAAGCAAUUAAGCACAAAACACAUAAUACUCAAAUAAUACAAUCUUAUUAUUUCAAAACGGGUUACAAAGGUUAACCUAGACUAUUACAUUGCUAAAAAUGGCAAGCCCGGAAACACAGGCGUUACAAUUCUCUCCACCUUAGAAUGAUUCCGUCCCCGGAAUCACACAUCAACAAACAAAUGCGGAUAGCGACUCAACAUGUCACUCUCCGUCUCCCAGGUGAGAUUCGGCCCAUUCGUGUGUUUCCAUCGGACAAGCACUAACCCAACCAUUUUGCGUCGCAACUUCUUAGUCUUUCGGUCAACAAUUGCCUCUGGUUCUUCAAUCAACCUUUUGUUCUCAUCAAUUCUCAAUUCAGAAAUUGGAAUUAUAUCGGGAACUUCUCCCGUGAACUUCCUCAAAUAACACACAUGAAAAGUGUUGUGAAUUCCAUUCAGUUCUUCGGGUAAUUCGAGCUUGUAAGCUUGGUUCCCAAUCCUCUGAAGAACUUUAAACGGUCCAAUAAACCUUGGACUCAACUUUCCCCUUUUACCAAAUCUUAUAAGUCCCUUCCACGGCGAGACUUUAAGCAAAACCGAAUCUCCAACCUCAAAAGUCAUCGGUCUUCGCUUCUUGUCAGCAUAGCUCUUUUGACGAUCUUGAGCUGCUAACAUUCUUUCCCUAAUUAUUUUCAACUUUUCAGCAGUUUGAUGAACCAUCUCCGGUCCCAUAAACUGCUUUUCCCCAGCCUCAAGCCAACAAGACGGCGUACGACACUUCUGUCCAUACAAAGCUUGAUAAGGUGCCAUCUUAAUGCUCGAGUGAAAACUAUUAUUAUAGGAAAAUUCUACCAACGGUAAAUGUUCAUCCCAAUUACCUAGGAAUUCCAAGGUACAUGCUCUCAGCAUAUCUUCAAGUGUUUGUAUUGUUCUUUCACUCUGACCAUCAGUCUGCGGAUGGUAAGCUGUGCUUAAACAUAACUUGGUACCCAUUUCCUCUUGUAGACUUUUCCAAAACCUUGAGGUGAAACGGCUAUCACGAUCCGAUACAAUCGUUAACGGAACACCGUGAAGCCUCACAAUUUCCUUCACGUAAGAAUUCGCAAGCUUUUCCAUAGACCAUUUCUCCCUGGCCGCUAUGAAAUGCGCACUCUUAGUGAAUCGAUCAACGACCACCCAAAUCAUGUCGUGACCAUUCUUUGUUCUGGGCAGUUUAGUGACAAAAUCCAUAGCAAUGUCUUCCCACUUACCCAUAGGCACAGGCAAAGGUUCUAAACUCCCGUACGGUUUCUGAUGUUGUGUCUUGACUCUCGCACAAGUCACACACUCGGCCACAUACUUUGCAACAUCAAGCUUCAUCGUCGGCCACCAGUAGUAGGGUUUCAGGUCCCUAUACAUUUUAGUGCUACCCGGAUGAAUCGAGUACAUGGUCUUGUGAGCUUCUUCCAUCAGAAGAUCUCUAAUUCCUCCUGACUUAGGUACCCAAAUACGAUCUUGGAAUACCUUCAGUCCAUGACCGUUAGUACCAAACACCAACGUUUUACCCAAACGUUCCUCCUUUCGGUCAUUUUUCUCAGAAGCUUCCUCUUGAGCUUUCUUUAUACUUUCCACAAUGGUCGAGACAACUUCAAUUCUCAACGCUCUUGGCCUCUUCCUUUCAAGAUUGACCUUCCGACUGAGAGCAUCAGCAACAACAUUAGCUUUACCGGGGUGGUAAAGUAUCUCGCAGUCGUAGUCUUUAAGUAAUUCUAGCCAGCGUCGUUGCCUCAUAUUCAAUUCUUUCUGAUUAAAGAGGUAUUGGAGACUCUUAUGAUCAGUGAAAAGUUUGCACUUCGUGCCAUAGAGGUAAUGCCUCCAUAUUUUCAGAGCGAAAACUACCGCUGCCAACUCCAAAUCAUGAGUCGGGUAAUUCUUUUCAUGCUCUUUCAGCUGUCGAGACGCAUAUGCUAUCACCUUUUCUCUUUGGGUCAAAACACAACCCAAUCCAACACCAGACGCAUCGCUAUAAACAGCGAAGUCUUCAACUCCAUCGGGUAGAGAAAGUAUCGGUGCCUCGCAUAGCUUCUUCUUUAACUUCUCGAAUGCUUCUUUAUGCUUCUCACUCCAAGCAUAAGUAGCUCCUUUGUGGGUCAAAGCUGUUAAUGGAGUAGCAAUCGAAGAAAAGCCUUGGAUAAACCUUCGGUAAUAUCCGGCUAAUCCUAAAAAGCUUCGAAUCUCCGUGGGACUUUUCGGUUGUUCCCACUUCGUCACAGCUUCGAUCUUCGCUGGAUCAACCAUUAUCCCUUCUUGGUUGACCACGUGACCCAAGAAUUGGACUUCACGAAUCCAAAAAUCACAUUUGGAGAACUUCGCAUAAAGCUUCUCCUUCUUCAAAACUUCUAACACUUCUCGCAAGUGUCUGCCAUGCUCCUCCUGGCUUUUCGAGUAGAUCAGAAUGUCGUCUAUGAACACUAUCACGGAUUUAUCAAGGAAAGGAUUACAAACCCUAUUCAUCAAAUCCAUGAACGCUGCUGGAGCAUUGGUUAGUCCAAACGACAUAACCAAGAACUCGUAGUGUCCAUAUCUAGUUCUGAAUGCAGUCUUCUCGAUAUCUUGCUCUCUUACUUUCAGCUGAUGAUAUCCUGACCUAAGAUCGAUCUUCGAGAAAUAGCUCGAACCUUGCAAUUGAUCAAACAGGUCAUCAAUCCUCGGCAACGGAUAUCUAUUCUUUAUUGUUGCCUUGUUCAGCUCUCUGUAAUCGAUGCACAUUCUCAUACUUCCAUCUUUCUUCUUUACAAAUAACACCGGAGCUCCCCAGGGCGAUGAACUAGGUCUAAUGAAACCUUUGUCCAAUAACUCCUGAAGUUGCAUCAUUAGCUCCUUCAUCUCCGUCGGUGCUAAUCGAUAAGGUGCUUUUGCUAUUGGCGUGGUUCCUGGUAACAAGUCUAUUCUGAACUCCACUUGUCUAUCAGGUGGUAAUCCAGGAAGAUCCUCGGGAAAUACUUCCGGAUAAUCACACACCACUGGAAUGCUCUGCAUCACCUUCUUUUCUUUCUUAGCAUCAAUCACGAAUGCUAAAUAUGAUGUACAUCCCUUGGUCAAACACUUUCUGGCUUUCAUUAGAGAAAUGAUUCCAGAAUUCACUCUGCGUUUGUCCCCAUACACCAUAAACGAAUCUUUUCCAGGCGGGUUUACUUUAACUAUCUUCUUCUUGCACAAAAUUUCGGCAUCAUUGGCGCUAAGCCAAUCCAUUCCCAAGACGAUGUCGAAACCAUUUAGUUCGAUAGGCAAUAAUUCCUCGAGAAACUUAUUCCCAUUAAGGUCGAUCAAGACGUUUUUCAUACGAUGGCUAACAGGUACAAACUUGCCACUAGCUACUUCGACUAAUAAAGCAUUAUUUAGUCUAUCAACAGGCAAAGCUAGCUUUCUACCAAACUCAUGCGAAAUAAAGGAGUAGUUGGCUCCAGAAUCAAACAAUAUAUGAGCAGGUAAUUCGUUUACGAGAAAGGUACCUGAAGCGACAUCAGCUUCAUCUUUCGCAGCCUCAAGUGUCAUCUGGAAGGCUCUCGCCUUCGGCUUUGGUGGAAUGUUGGGCCUAGCUGCCUCCUUCUUCUUCGGACAGUCUUUCAAAAUAUGCCCCUCUUCAUUACAACCAAAACACAUCCUUUUGUUGUUCGGACAUUCAUUGGCAAAAUGUCCAACCUUUCCACACUUGUAGCAGGUCACAUCCUCGCUACAUUUCCCAAAGUGCUUUUUCUUACACUUAUCACACCACUUUGCUUCGCCUCCUUUUCCUCCAAACUUUUUCGAAUCAGAUUUCGAAAAUUUGCUCUUCUUACUGGAACCAGAUGUUCCUUCAAACUUCCUUUUCUCACCAACCUCAACCUUGACGGUGGUUCUCCCCUUGAUCAUGUUCUCCACAGACUUGGCAGCCCAGAUAGCUGCCUCUAGAGUAAGUGCCUGACGUACCGGCACCUCGUACUCCCAUGGAAGUCCCUUCGCAUACCGAUCCACCUUUGUCAGCUCGUCUGGAACGAUACGCAAGGCAAACUCCAUCUUAUCGGUGAAGUUAUUGGUGUAUUCAUCAACUGACAUGCUACCCUUCGUCAAUGUCAAAAACUUAUUCUCCAACUCCAACAGAUUUUGAGCCGAGCAGAACUUGCGCUUGAACUGCACCAAGAACUCUGCCCAUGACAAUUGCAGUGGCUCAUUAGGGCUUAAGGUCUUCCCUAGAGUGUUCCACCAACGAACGGCUCCACCUCGGAAUUGUCGCACGGCAUAGAUAGUCUGCAACUUACCUCUGCAGCCACAUGUCAUAAAGGCUAACUCCAUUUCGGAGAUCCAAUCCAUAACCCCAAUCGGAUCCUCCUUUCCAUUGAAGGUCGAUGGUUUGCAAGUCAAAAAGUCCUUGUACUUGCAUCCCAUUCCAUCAUUCCUUCCUUCAUGGUUAUCUUGCCUAACUAUCGGUGGGUUGGCUGGACCAACAGACCCACUGAAGUUUCCACCUUCCGAGUGCCCUUCAUUUAAUUCAGGCUCUUCCACACGAAUCGACAGUUCUUCACGAUUUUGUUGAAGCAACCGUCUAGUUUCAUCCAUCUGACGAUCCAACAUCGUCUGAAUCAUCAAUUGCACACCAGCCAUGGUUAUUGGCUCAGGUGCUGCUGCUACGACAGGUAUUGGCUCAAUCACUGGUGGUUGAUUCCUGUUUUCGUCAGCAUUUCCAACUCCACUUCUUGUUCUCACCAUUUUGAUCUACACCCCGAAUAAGGUGAAAUUAGAUCCUCAAUCAUGAUAGAUAUUCAAAUCAUCCUUAUCACUCCGAAACGUUUACAUGCUAGUUCUAAUAUCGUAGACGUACGCUUAGAAUCCUACACACAUAAGGUUUCUAGAUCCGGUCGGCAACAGACCAUAGAUCCGAACAAAUAAUAUCAUAUAUGGCAACAUAUAACAUUUAGCACAUAAAGCAUUUUAGGCAACUUUCCUAAAAUAAACUAGUGCUCGUGUCUAAAACACAACAGACACACAUCUCAAAACUUCACUUAGCAUUCUAAGUUUAAGUCUAGAAAUCCUACAAAUUCCUAGUUCGCUUAAACUAAUGCUCUGAUACCAACUGUGACAUCCCCAAAAUCUCGGCCAGAAAAGACCGAUUUUCAUUUAUGCUUUUAAAUAUUUUCAGAGUAAAUCCUUUUGAUUUGAAAGAGUUGCGGAAUUUGUUCCCAAAAACAAAACAUGAUAAAACAUUGUUUACCGAAGCAUUUCAUAAAAGAAAUGUAUUUUCAUUAUAAUCAAAACUCGGGGUGUCAUGUUCCGAUACAGACCAAUAAGCAUAAACGAAUACAUUACAAGUCAUAUAACAAAUAUAAACAUAUGCAGACUUGUAAACAAAACAACUUGAUGGUUCAUCCAUCUCAUGCCCUUCCGCCACUACCUGUAAUACAAUUUAAAACUGAGUGGGUCAGGCUUGGGAGCCUGGUGAGCAUAUAGGGUUUUCAACCCACAAUAAAUAUCAUAUUUAAUUUUCACCAACCAACAAUAACCCAAUUACCCAUUCCCGUUAUUCUCACUUUAAUGUCCCUAAAACAACUAACAUAAGGGACCUAGUCUAAGAAUAUUUCAUCGGGGCGACAACACAUGCUUCGGGGGUACCUCAGCAAUAUAAGUCAAAUAAGGCAACCAUGAGGGGGAUGGAGUACAGCGAAUGAACACCCAAGUUCAUUAACACCUACAGGUGGCGAACCUGCUAAUGUUUCCACAAGACUGUCUAGAAUAGCCAGUGGUCGUCAUCUAAACUCCGCUAGAUGACUCAAUCAAACAACAACGAGGCCUCUCAUCUGUUUAUUACACACCAACUGUCUACCCAUGUUCUACCCAACAUAUUAGUAGAUAAAAAUAUACAUUUGUAUACAUAGUUUAAAGAAAACCUGUAUAGCAUGCUUUAAUCAACACAUAUAUCACAUAACAGAUGAGGCACACACACACAUAACACAUAUCUCAUAAAGAAAUAAGCAGAUCUAUAAGAUAGAAGAGAGUGAAUACUCAUUCACACAUAACACAACCAAAUAUAUACACAUAGCACGUAUUUUUAUAUAAAAUACUUCGUAUUAUUGUAUUAGAAGAAAUAACUACACACUCACUUGAUCAGAAGAUGAUCGGACAGCACUACGGCUUAUAGAAGUAGUAAUCCACAGCAGAUCUGGAAGAUCUUCUCGAAAAUCGAACUUCUCGCGGGCAGAGCUUCGACUCGGGAACCGCACUUCUCGGGAUCUUCGGGAUCUCGGGACUUGCCUCGGGGCUCGAGAAUAAUACUGGGGCUUUGGGGUAUUUCUGGCACGCAAAACGAUGCAAAACGGGAGAGAGAAGAGAAGAAAUGAACAAAACUCUCGGCUGCCCUCGCAAGCCUUUUAUAGGGGCUGAGUCUCGCACAUACGCGGGGCGUACUGGUCCGAGAAACGUCACUGCUUACGUAUCCGAAUCCACUUGCUGCGAUGUCGACACCUUCGGAGUACGCGGGGCGUACCUCGGAUCAGACCGGUGACUCCUUCGGAUAAUGCUUCCGAAUUUCCAUUUAAAUUUAAAUACAAAAUGAUUAAUAAACUUCGGAAAUUCAUAUCUUCUUCAUACGAACUCCGUUUUUGACGUUCUUUAUAUCCACGUGAAGGUGAGACUACACUAUACAACUUUCGUUUAGACUCCGUCGGCUAAUUUUGAGUUUAUUUUUAUUAUUUAUUUUUAAUAGGCCGCGACAGAAAAACUUCAUUAUAAAUUCAUAACUUCUUCGUUUGACGUCCGUUCUCGCCUAACUUUUCGUCGUUUCGCCACUAACAACAAGAUCUUCGAUUCUCGUUUAGAUCGCUAAGGCU
rnacentral:lncRNA from 1 species